CACAAACGGGAAGAAAAACAACAACCAUGGCGGACGAUAAUGACGAUAAAGUUGUCAAUGUGCUGGCUCCAGUCGGAAAACAACUUUAAAAUCGUAAGAUACGCUCCAUCAUUAGUUUAACUGCCGCAAAAUCUGGGCACUUUCUUUUUGUAUGCCUGUUGGUAAAACACUGAGCGCUAUCUCUGUGUGACGUUAUUGUGCCCUCUCCUGCGAGUACCGGAGACUUUUAGGGCGUAACGGGAACAUAACGACUUUAUCCAAGUCGCAUAUAUUUGGAAGUGUGAAUGACCGCGCAAAAAUAAAAUUAAAUACAAGUUUAAAAAAAAAAUCAGAAUUGAGCAUUAAGACCUGCAGUAUGAAUGUAGCCAGUUACAAGUAGGCUAGCAUUAGCAUGUUAGCCAUCACUGACUGACUGGUGAAUUCCUGUCGAACUCGGAAGUGGAAAAUUCUGACUUCCCAUUCAGAAAAAUUUUAUUACCUGGAAUGCCCUCAGAAGUCAGAUUUCCCAAGUAAUUCUGACUUCCCCCUGUUACGACUAAGGCUGACUUUGUGUUUCGAUAUGGCCGCUCAUCGCAUCAAUAUGUUUAAGACCUGGAAAGUAGAAGAAAGAGAAGAGGUUGGUAGUUGAGCAGCCUAAUCACAUGGGGCGCCUGCGCAGCUGCUCACCACCUGUGUGAGCACCUGGAUGUCAUCAUCUAUCACUGAGCAUCUGUCUGCCUCCACGGUUCAACACACAAACUCCUCCUCCACCAUCACCCUCAGCUUCAGUCUGUGGUUUUUAUGCGAGCUUGUUGAAUUUAUAUUCUGCCCUAGAAGUUGUUCUCAGCCAGCCUCCACCUUGUGCACAUCACCUGACUGCCCAUCUGACCCUCUAUGUGCCUGCACACAUGAUCCCCACCAGCUCAGCAACACUUCAGCUCAUGUGGUUUGUUUUCAGAUCUGAAAAAUGGGUAAAAUGUUUGGCUUACUUAUUGGAAUCUAAGCUGCACACAUUGACUACCCUGUUAUAGCAACUGCUAGGAGAAAAAACAAUUACACACAGAAAUAUUCCUGUGAGUGUACAUUUUGCAUUCAUAAGUAUUCUAAGAAAAUCUUUGGCAAAGCUAAACCCUUUCAAUUAACUGGCUUUUGUAGAAGAAGACAUUUAAAUUAAUACAAUAACUGCUAAGUCCAACAGUCUUUUCAAUA